rnacentral:lncRNA from 1 species
ACGUUCUUCACAUCUGGUCCUGUCCUGACUGGGCCAAGAGCUACUGCAUGAGCAAUUUCCUGCUUUAUCUGGGUGAAAGCUUGCUGCUGCUCAGGGCCCCAGCAGAAAUCAUUCUUCUUGCGGGUGACCAGGUAGAGGGGACUCACGAUCUGACUGUACUCAGGAAUGUGCAUUCUCCAAAAACCGAUGGCGCCUAAGAAAGCUUGUGUCUCUUUCUUGUUGGUUGGUGGGGACAUGGCUGUGAUCUUGUUGAUGACAUCUGUAGGAAUCUGACGCCGUCCAUCUUGCCACUUCACUCCCAAGAACUGGAUCUCUCGAGCAGGUCCCUUCACUUUACUCUUCUUGAUGGCGAAACCAGCUUCCAGGAGGAUUCGGAUGAUUUUCUCUCCUUUCUCAAACACUUCUGCUGCUGUGUUUCCCCACACAAUGAUAUCAUCAAUAUAUUGUAGAUGUUCUGGAGCCUCACCCUUUUCUAGUGCAGUCUGGAUCAGUCCAUGGCAGAUGGUAGGACUGUGCUUCCACCCCUGGGGCAGUCGGUUCCAGGUAUACUGCACUCCCCUCCAUGUAAAGGCAAACUGAGGCCUGCAUUCUGCUGCCAGAGGAAUGGAGAAAAAUGCAUUGGCAAUAUCAAUAGUGGCGUACCACUUCGCUGCCUUGGACUCCAGCUCGUACUGGAGUUCCAGCAUGUCUGGCACAGCAGCGCUCAGUGGUGGAGUCACUUCAUUCAAUGCACGGUAGUCCACAGUCAAUCUCCAUUCUCCUUCAGAUUUACGCACAGGCCAAAUGGGGCUGUUGAAGGGUGAGUGGGUUUUGCUGACCACCCCUUGGCUCUCCAGCUCUCGGAUCAUCUUAUGGAUGGGAACCACAGCAUCUCGAGUUGUUCUGUACUGUCGACGAUGCACUCUUGAAGUGGCAAUUGGUACCUUUUGUUCUUCUCCCUUCAACAGUCCUACUGUAGUUGGAUUCUCAGACAGUCCAGGCAAGGUGUUCAGUUGCUGGAUGCCCUCUGUCGCUACAGCUGCUAUCCCAAAUGCCCACCUGAGUCCCUUUGGGUCUUUAAAAUAUCCCCUUCGAAGGUAAUCUAUGCCCAAAAUACAUGGGGCCUCUGGGCCAGUCACAAUAGGGUGUUUCUUCCACUCAUUUCCUGUCAGACUUACAUCAGCUUCCACCACAGUAAAGUCCUGUGAUCCACCUGUCACACCGGCAAUAGAGACAGAUUCUGCCCCUACGUGUCUCGAUGGAAUUAACGUGCAUUAUGCACCAGUAUCAACCAAAGCCUUAUAUCUUUGUGGGUCCGAUGUGCCAGGCCAGCGAAUCCACACAGUCCAGAAAACACGGUUUUCCCUCGCCUCUACCUGGCUAGAGGCAGGGCCUCUCUAAGCCUGGUUAUCUUGCCUUGGGCG